CAGGUAAGCACAAUACAAAUAAAAAGAUUUAUAAUGAUUCGGUGCCAACCUUGCACCUACGUCCACUCUCCAAGCUUCUACUUGAGAAUUCAGAUCCACUAAACCAUAUUCAACCUGAAUACAACAUCAGAACCUCCGACUCUAGCUAUUCCAAGCUAGAAUACUUAUUUUUUGGGUACAAGCUAACCCAAUAUAAUCUGAUUCA
rnacentral:lncRNA from 1 species